CGUAUCCAACCUACCCUUUACUCGGGGAUAGCCUUUCGAAAGAAAGAUUAAUACCCGAUAGCAUAAUGAUUCCGCAUGGUUUCAUUAUUAAAGGAUUCCGGUAAAGGAUGGGGAGUGCGUUCCAUUAGGUUGUUGGUGGGGUAACGGCCCACCAAGCCUUCGAUGGAUAGGGGUUCUGAGAGGAAGGUCCCCCACAUUGGAACUGAGACACGGUCCAAACUCCUACGGGAGGCAGCAUGG
rnacentral:rRNA from 1 species